CAUCUAUUGUCGUCCAGCGGUUAGGAUAUCUCGCUUUCACCCAGGAGACCCCGGUUCGAUUCCCGGCAAUGGAAC
rnacentral:tRNA from 1 species